AGUUGUUACAAUGAUUCAGUACGGUUUCUUCUUGUGCAUUUUGCCAGCGUUAAUAACUUUAACGUCUUUGCAAGAGUAUAUACAAAUAGAGAUUGAUUUUCAAACAAGUUGCCUUUUGGGCCAAAAAGAUCGUGAAUCCCUUAGUUUCUGUUGUGAUAAGAACGAUCGUGACAACAGCUCGAAGUUUAAUUCUACUCAUUCUUGGUUUAUUGAAAACAACCAGAAAUGUGUUGCUGCAAUAGAAAAUAUAAAAAAGUUAAAUAUAUUUUGUCGUAAAAAACAAUAUUCUGGUUCAGGUUUCGGAUAUAAUGGAGUCAUUACAGCAUCUAUGAAUGGUAAUAAUCAGCGAACCGGUGAACCUAUAAAAUCUGGUGACGUAUUUCAUUAAUAUACAAACUAUAAAAUAAAAUUGCACUUAUACUAACUUAGUACGUAAUAAUUUCUUUCACGUGAAAAUUGUUGGUUAAUUGUUUAUUAUUUUAUUGUUAGUUGUUGAAAUAUUGCAUUAUAGUUUGUAUUUCUUGCUGCAUAAUGUGUAACUAAUUUACGAAAAUUUUCACCAAUAUUGUUAAUCUACAUCACUACUGGGAAUGUACAUAUUAAUUCAAGAUUUAAUGUCCCCCAUUCUUGUUCUCCUUUACAAGUAUAAGAAACUACGCAAAGUUUGGUAUCAAGAAGAUUUCGCGCCAAAUUAUUCACCUGAUGACUGUACUUUGUAAAAAUAACCCAAUAAAGAUUAUGAAAUAAAAGCUUAUAACACCUGA